CAAUCUAUAAAGAUAAAAUGUCUGCUAUGCCAAUGGGAGGAAAAGCUCUGACUGCAAGCAAAAUUAUGUAGGCUUUACUCUGAGGGGGAAAAAAUCUUAUUAACAUUUAUAUUUAUAUCUUCAAUUUUCAGACAAUAGUUUUAGCUUUAUUUGGAGGCUGAAGUACCUUUCUGAUUUAAUAACAAGUGUACACCAGAAACUGUUCUCUUUUCCAGAAACAGAACUUUGCCAUGUGUUUCUUGAAAUAACUGAUAUAUAGUUUUAUUCAUAAAAAUUAAUCUAUAAUUCAAUUUCUUUUACAAUCAGUUGAUUCAAGAUAACUGACAACUGAAUGAACUGUGAUAAAGCUUUACUCUGUAAUGUACCUAACACAAUUAGCAUUUGGUAUAUUUCAUUGUAGGGAAAAAUCUGUUUAUGUUAUUUUUUUUUAUGCCAAAUGUUUCCUCUUUUGUUCCUUGACACUUGUAUACUCUUGAUUUUCAGUUGUGGUACUCCAGGCUUCAGGGGAAAGGAGAAACUUCUCUAAUUUAUUGGAUACUUCCCUAGAUGUUUAAAGGUGUGCCUCUUAAAAGUCUUUUCAGGAGGAGACUGCUCAGCUUCUCUGUGUAACCAGUGCCAGUGCUUCAUCACCUGUACAACACAGAAGUGCAUCCUGAAGUUCAGAGGGAACCUUCUGUGUUCUGGCUUGUGCCCAUUGCCUCUGGUCCUGGCACUGGACAUCACUGGAAAUAGCAUGACCUUGUGUUCUUUUCAUCCUCCUUUCAGGAAAAAAUUGCACCCACUGACAUUCACUAAUGCUUACUGAACAUUUAUGGAGACUAACCAGUGGAUAAGAUCACAGUGAGAUUCCAUAGAAAUAGGAGGUAUUACUUUUGGAGCCACCUGUGUAAGUGAAAAACAGAGAAACAAAAAAUCUCUAAAAUAUUAAAUUUGAUAGCACAGGUGUUUAAAACUUUUUAGAAAUAUGCUUAGACUUAUUUUUUCACGUUAAGGCCAAAUUAUUUCACAUGUAGUCUCAACAUUUCACAUAUGUUAGAAGAUAUUCCUUAGGGCAGAAGAAGUCUGUAAGCCUCCAGGAAUGGAGGAAGAUAUUGUGGCAGAUAAUUAUAGAGCAACUGCUUGCAGAUUUCCAGUUAUACAAGUAUUGGAAUGUGCAUUCAGGCUGUGUUCAUAUUUAAUAAAUCACAGGCAAAAAAAAUUGU